GGACGAACGCUGGCGGCGUGCUUACACAUGCAAGUCGAGCGGAGAUGCAUUUAUGUAAUCUUAGCGGCGGACGGGUGAGUAACGCGUAGGCAACCUGCCUUGCACAGAGGGAUAACACCGGGAAACUGGUGCUAAUACCACAUGAUAUCAUAACAAGGCAUCUUGAAAUGAUCAAAGGAGAAUCCGGUGCAAGAUGGGCCUGCGUCGAUUAUUAGUUGGUGAGUAACGUCACCAAGCGACAUCGGUACCGAACUGAAGUGAUCGGCACAUUGGACUGAACACGCCAACUCCUACGGAGCACAUGGGGAAUAUGCCAUGGGGGAACCCUGACGCACAACGCCGCGUGAAGAAGAAGCUUCGGGUUGUAACUUUUUUGAUUGGGGAAGAAAAAAAUGACGGUACCCAAGGAACAAGCCACGGCUAACUACGUGCCAGCAGCCGCGGUAAUACGUAGGUGGCGAGCGUUGUCCGGAAUUACUGGGUGUAAAGGGCGUGUAGGCGGGAUUGUAAGUCAGAUGUGAAAUUCCAGGGCUUAACUCUGGAGGUGCAUCUGAAACUAUAAUUCUUGAGUGCUGGAGAGGAAANCGGAAUUCCUAGUGUAACGGUGAAAUGCGUAGAUAUGAGGAAGAACACCAGUGGCGAAGNCGGCUUUCUGGACAGUAACUGACGCUGAGGCGCGAAAGCGUGGGGAGCAAACAGGAUUAGAUACCCUGGUAGUCCACGCUGUAAACGAUGGAUACUAGGUGUAGGAGGUAUCGACCCCUUCUGUGCCGGAGUUAACACAAUAAGUAUCCCACCUGGGGAGUACGGCCGCAAGGCUGAAACUCAAAGGAAUUGACGGGGGCCCGCACAAGCAGUGGAGUAUGUGGUUUAAUUCGAAGCAACGCGAAGAACCUUACCAGGGCUUGACAUCCCUCGGAUAACAUAGAGAUAUGUUAGUCCUUCGGGACGAGGAGACAGGUGGUGCAUGGUUGUCGUCAGCUCGUGUCGUGAGAUGUUGGGUUAAGUCCCGCAACGAGCGCAACCCCUAUUGUUAGUUGCCAUCAUUAAGUUGGGCACUCUAACGAGACUGCCGGUGACAAAUCGGAGGAAGGUGGGGACGACGUCAAAUCAUCAUGCCCCUUAUGUCCUGGGCUACACACGUACUUCAAUGUCACUACAAAGGGAAGCAUACCGCAAGGAGGAGCAAUCCCCAAAGGUGACCUCAGUUCGGAUUGUGGGCUGAAACCCGCCCACAUGAAGUCGGAAUUGCUAGUAAUGGCAGGUCAGCAUACUGUCGUGAAUACGUUCCCGGCAUUGUACACACCGCCCGUCACACCAUGAGAGUUUGCAACACCCGAAGUCAGUAG
rnacentral:rRNA from 1 species